rnacentral:siRNA from 1 species
ACCAAACUCCCUUCUGCGAAAUGC